AGGCUCUCGCAACGAUGAAGAACGCAGCGAAAUGCGAUACGUAAUGUGAAUUGCAGAAUUCCGUGAAUCAUUGAAUCUUUGAACGCAUAUUGCACUCUAUUUUAGAGUAUGCCUGUUUGAGAAUCUAUAGUAACUCUUUUCUGGUUUUACUGGAAAGACUUGGCGCGUCUCUCGGUGAGAGUGCGCUUAAAGCUAUAGCUUGUCGCCCAAGGAGCGCCAGAGCAAAAUUGUUUGAAGCCGCAAGGUAGCUGCAACUAGCUCUGGGGCAACGUUCCUAGGAGACUUGCCCAAAACCUAGGAGGUCGGCACUACACGCCGGCCCGAACCAUGGUCUCAAAUCAGGUAGGAGGACCCGCUGA
rnacentral:misc_RNA from 1 species